rnacentral:rRNA from 1 species
UACGUAGGGUGCAAGCGUUGUCCGGAAUUAUUGGGCGUAAAGAGCUCGUAGGCGGUUUGUUGCGUCGGCUGUGAAAUCCCGAGGCUCAACCUCGGGUCUGCAGUCGAUACGAGCAAACUAGAGUGUUGCAGGGGAGACUGGAAUUCCUGGUGUAGCGGUGAAAUGCGCAGAUAGUCAGGAGGAACACCGGUGGCGAAGGCGGGUCUCUGGGCCGACUAACUG